CUCUCUGUCUCUUCUCUAGUGUGUUGGCCAACAGUCUCUCUCUAUGUCCUUGCCGCUCCUUGUGCUGUCUCCCCUCAUAGCACACAGGCAGGUGUGCUACGUGUGCAUCCCCACAGGCUAGGUCUAGGGAGCUAUGAACAAGUAAGAGGGGAUGAAAAUCAUGCAGGGUAGUGGGCACUAGAGUGGAGUGUAGACUGUCGAUGUUGACUUGGUUACUGUUUAUCAAGUGGGGCUGAUGUAGAUGGGAUGGGAGAGGGAGGCAGGGAUGAGGGCAAGAUUAAAUGCACUAAUAGAGCUCUGUGUAGUGAUGAUGGUACUUACUUGACUUUAUUAGUUUGCAGAGGAAUCAUCCAGGAGCCCUCACCGGACGAGAAUAUGCAGAAGUGGACAUGAGCAGCCUGGACAUCCUUUUAAGGAGACAUGAAUAUUCCUCAUCUUUCUGCCUUUUGCAUAAUUGCCUGUGAGUAAGAGUACCAAGGAAAAAGAAGUCACGGUCAGAGUCUACUGUCCUCAUGCGAUGGAAAGCGAGCGAGAGCGACGAGACCACGAGCAUUGUUGAAAUCAAGCAUUAGCCGUGCAUCUGGGAGCGGAGCAGCUACUGCUGUCAGUGAGAUAAGUGUCUGUUCUGGUGAGAGCUCUGCUCACGGCCCACCUGGCUCCAGGUAGGGACGUCCUGUAAGUUGGGCCUGGGUUUGUAACAAAAUGUUCAUGACUAGCUGUGGUUAUGAGGGAGACUGGGUCCCCAUUUUCAGGGUCUGCUCAUUUCUCUGCUGACAAGCGAUGUGUCCUCUGCAGAAAAGGUAGGUUCCAGGUGGCGAGUUACUUGUCUUCCUCCUGUGUUUCUCUCUCUCUCUCUCUUCUCUAGUGUUGGCCAACACACUCUGUCAGUCUGCUUGCCUCUUUUUCUGCUGUUUCACUUCAUUGCACACAGGCAGGUGAGCUAGCUGUGUAUCCCCAGAGGCCAGGUCUCGGGAAGCAUGACGAAGUAGGAGAGGACGAAAAUAAUGCAGGGAAGUGGGUGUGAGAGUGGAGUGGUGACUGUUGCUGUUAACUCGGUCUCUGUUCAUCAAGUGGGGCCAAUGCAGAUGGAAUGGAAGAGGGAGGCAGGAUUGAGGGCAAGAUUUCAUGCACCAUUAGAGCUCUGUGUAGUGAUUGCUCAUGCUUGGUUUUUGCAGCUGUUCUUGCAGAGGAAUUGUCCAGGAGCCCUAGCUGGAGGAGGAAGAGGCAGAAGUGGACCUGAGCAGCUUGGACAUCCUUUUAAGCAGACACGAACAGUCCUCAGCUUUAUGUCUCUUGCAUAACUGGCUUACCAAGUGAAAAGAAGUCAGUCUACUGCCCUCAUGCGAUGGAAAGCGAGUGAGAGCGACGAGACCUCGAGCAUUGUUCAUGCCAGGCAAGAGCCAUCCAUCUGGGAGCGGAACAGCUGCCACUGUCACUGAGAAGUGUCUGUUUUGCUGAGGAUUCUGCUCACGGCCCACCUGGCUCCAGUUUACAGAGGAAUCGUCUAAGAGCCUUAGCCGGAGGAGAGGGUGGCAGAAGUGAAGCUGAGCUGCCUGAACAUUCUUCUAAGGAGACAUGAACAGUCCUCAGAUUUCUGAAUUCUGCAUAACUGUCUGUGAGUAAGAGUACCAAGGAAAAAGAAGUCACACGUCAGAGUCUACUGCCCUCAUGCGAUGGAAAGUGAUCAAGAGCGAUUGGACCUGGAGAAUUAUUGAUGGCAUGAAAAAGCAGUCCACCUGGGAGUGGAAUAGCUGCCACUGUCACUGAGAUAAGUGUCUGUUGUGCUGAGGGUUCUGCUCACGGCCCAUCUGGCUCCAGGUAGUGAUGCCCCAUCAGCUGGGGCUGGCUUUGUUUUAAAAAAAAAAAAAAAAUGUUCCUGAACAGCACAGGUUAUGAGGGAGACAAGGUCCCCAUUUUCAGCGGGUGCUAAUGUCCAGUAGUUUUGUGUCUUCUGCAGCAGAAGGUUAGAUCCAGGAGGAUGACACCAGGUGGCAAGUUGCUUGCCUUCCUCCUAUGUUUUUCUCUCUCUCUUUUCUAAUAUGUUGGCCAACACACACCGUCUCUCUGACUCUGUCUGUCUCUCUCUGUCCUUACCUUUCCUUGUGCCAUCUCCCUUCAUAGGACACAGGCGGAGGUGCUCAGUGUGCAUCCCCCCAUGCUAGAUCUUGGGAGCCAUGGAGCAGUAGGAGCAGAGAAAAAUCAUAAGGGGCAGUGAGUGCUAAAGUGGAGCGGUGACUGUCUGCUUUUACCCAGUCUCUGUUCAUCGAAUCGGGCUGAGGUAGAUGGGAUGGGAGACGGACGCAGGGAUGAGGGCGUUAAUAGAGCUCUGCGUAGUGAUAGUUCUUGCUUGGCUUUAUUAGUUUGCGGCGGAAUCCUCCAGGAGCCCUCACAGGAGGAGAAACUGGCAAAGGUUGAUCUGAGCUGCCUGGACUUUAUUCUAAGGAGACAUGAACAGUCCUCAGCUUUCUGCCUCUCAUGUAAGCUGUCAGUGCUUGGAAUUCCUCAUCUGUACUGACUGUAUUCACAGCCCGUAUGGUUCCUCGUUGGGUACAGGACUCUGUGGUGUUAAGGCUGGGGAGGGGCCAGCAUCUGCUGUGCAGAGUGACUGUUGGAUACCGUUGCAAGGGCUGCUUUUUGGUUGUAAUGCUAAAGGUGUGAUGGGAACAGUGUUGAGGGCGGAGCCCCGCCGUGUUGGAGAGGCGAAAAGAAGAGCCAAUGCGACGUUGCCCACUGAGUUGCUAACUUUUUUUUUUCCCCCUUCUGCUGGGUUUAGUACCAAGGGAAAAGAAAUCUCACGUCGGAGUCUGCUGUCCUCAUGCGAUGGAAAGCGAGUGAGAGCGAUGGGACUGUGAGAGUUAUUGAUGCCACGCAAAAGCCGUCCAACUGGGAUCAGAACAGCCGCCGCUGUCAGUGAGAUAAGUGUCUGUUUUGGUGAUUGCUGUGCUCAUGGCCCUCGUUG